AAUUUUGGACAAUGUGGGCAACCCUGAUCCAGCCAUCCCGCGUGUGCGAUGAAUGUUUUCGGAUCGUAAAUCUCUUUCCUUGGGGAAGUAGGCGGCCAUGUAUGGCCACUUGACUGUACCCAAGGAGGAAGCUCCGGCUAACUACGUGCCAGCAGCUGCGGUAAUACGUAGGGGGCAAGCGUUGUCCGGAAUUAUUGGGCGUAAAGGGUGCGUAGGCGGCCUUUUAAGUCAGAUGUGAAAGACCACGGCUUAACCGUGGGGUUGCAUUUGAAACUGGAGGGCUUGAGUAUCGGAGAGGGUAGUGGAAUUCCCAGUGUAGCGGUGGAAUGCGUAGAUAUUGGGAGGAACACCAGUGGCGAAGGCGACUACCUGGACGAAAACUGACGCUGAGGCACGAAGCUAGGGGAGCAAAC
rnacentral:rRNA from 1 species